rnacentral:rRNA from 1 species
UACGAAGGGGGGCUAGCGUUGUUCGGAAUUACUGGGCGUAAAGCGCACGUAGGCGGAUUGCUAAGUCAGGGGUGAAAUCCUGGAGCUCAACUCCAGAACUGCCUUUGAUACUGGCGACCUUUGAGUCCGGGAGAGGUGAGUGGAACUGCGAGUGUAGAGGUGAAAUUCGUAGAUAUUCGCAAGAACACCAGUGGCGAAGGCGGCUCACUGGCCCGGUACUGACGCUGAGGUUGCGAAAGCGUGGGGAGCAAACAGG